rnacentral:rRNA from 1 species
GAUGAACGCUAGCGGGAGGCCUAACACAUGCAAGCCGAGCGGUAGAGUUUCUUCGGAAACUUGAGAGCGGCGCACGGGUGCGUAACACGUGUGCAACCUACCUUUAUCUGGGGGAUAGCCUUUCGAAAGGAAGAUUAAUACCCCAUAAUAUAAUGAUUGGCAUCAAUUAUUAUUGAAAACUCCGGUGGAUAGAGAUGGGCACGCGCAAGAUUAGAUAGUUGGUGAGGUAACGGCUCACCAAGUCAAUGAUCUUUAGGGGUCCUGAGAGGGAGAUCCCCCACACUGGUACUGAGACACGGACCAGACUCCUACGGGAGGCAGCAGUGAGGAAGAUUGGACAAUGGGUGAGAGCCUGAUCCAGCCAUCCCGCGUGAAGGAUGACGGUCCUAUGGAUGGUAAACUUCUUUUGUACAGGGAUAAACCUACCCUCGUGAGGGUAGCUGAAGGUACUGUACGAAUAAGCACCGGCUAACUCCGUG